GACGACAACUUACAUAACUUGUCGGACAGGCACUAGUAUUAUUGUAUUUAAGAAACACAAGUACACCUAAACACCCAAGGUUAAUUGUUUCACCAUGUUUCUACAAAUCCUCCUCUUCGUAGCCCUUUAUUCUAUCACCACCCAUUUGCUCCACAAGUUUCAAAACCAUCCUCCUAUCCCUUUUCCCAGUUUACCCAUCAUCGGCCACCUCCACCUUCUCAAGAAACCUCUCCACCGUUCCCUAGCGAAAAUCUCCAACAAACAUGGCCCAAUCCUUCUUCUCCAUUUUGGCUCUCGCCCUGUUCUCGUCGUCUCAUCUCCAUCAGC
rnacentral:lncRNA from 1 species